GACGAAGGGGGCAAGCGUUGUUCGGAAUUACUGGGCGUAAAGGGCGCGUAGGCGGUUCUUUAAGUCAGGCGUGAAAGCCCUGGGCUCAACCUGGGAGUGGCGCUUGAUACUGGAGGACUAGAGAGUGGGAGAGGUUGGUGGAAUUCCUGGUGUAGCGGUGGAAUGCGCAGAUAUCAGGAGGAACACCUAUGGCGAAGGCAGCUCUCUGGUACAUGGCUGACGCUGAGACGCGAAAGCGUGGGUAGCAAACAGG
rnacentral:rRNA from 1 species